CUAGAAUGUUAGCUAGGUGUAAGGGAAUUCUUAGAGGAGGGAUAAAAUCCAUUGAUACUAAGAGGAACACCAAUAGAGAAGUCACUAUACCGCGAAACAUUGACGCUCAACCCAGUAAAGCGUAGGGAGCAAACGGGAUUAGAUACCCCAGUAGUCUACGCCCUCGAUGGAGUGGUGGACAAAUGUUCAACCAUUUUGCCUGGAAAGUUAGGUCGCAAGACUGAAAUUCAAUGGAUUAGACGGGUACCAACAACAGCAGUGGCGCGUAUUGUUUAAUUCGAUGGUCCACGAAAACCUUACCCUCUCUAUUCUGAUUAUCCAGGAAUGUCUGGAGAAAUCAUAGGUAUUGCACGGCAGUUGUCAACGUAUCUCGCGAGAGUAUCUGUGAAACCUCAAAAUUAGGAACCUAAUUCAUUAAUUUGAGAGAAGUGCCUAUCAAGGAUUAAUGAAGGGAGCAAACUGCUUAGGUAUCAGCUAAGUUAGUUUUCUACGAGUAAAUCGUAUAGAUCCCGGGAAUUAUGAUUGAGACCAAAACAUGUCAGUAUGGCCUAAUGAGAGGGGCUACAAAUGCGCGACAAUGAUAGAGACAGCUUUUUAAACUCUAUCACGUACGAAUAGAUUCUUGGAACCAGAAUCUUAAUGCUGGAAUUGCUAGUAAUCGCGAUCUAGAAUCUUGCGGUGAAUUUUCAAUUGGUACUAUACUAACUGCCCAUCAAGUACUGAGAUUAUGACCAUGAGAAGAUCCAAUUGAAGUAUUGGCAUUACUUUUACUGAUUAUCUAAUUCCACAAGAACUAGAUGGAGAAGUAAAGGUUCAAUACAUUAGUCUUUUAGGAUUGAAGGUGGGAGUAAUAUCGGUAUUAAGUUGUAACAAGGUCAUCGUAGCGGAAGCUGCGGUCUAAUUUAUUA
rnacentral:rRNA from 1 species